UACGUAGGGUGCAAGCGUUAAUCGGAAUUACUGGGCGUGAAGCGUGCGCAGGCGGUGAUGUAAGACAGAUGUGAAAUCCCCGGGCUCAACCUGGGAACUGCAUUUGUGACUGCAUCGCUGGAGUGCGGCAGAGGGGGAUGGAAUUCCGCGUGUAGCAGUGAAAUGCGUAGAUAUGCGGAGGAACACCGAUGGCGAAGGCAAUCCCCUGGGCCUGCACUGACGCUCAUGCACGAAAGCGUGGGGAGCAAACAGG
rnacentral:rRNA from 1 species